UGGGGAAUAUUGCACAAUGGCGAAAGCCUGAUGCAGCGACGCCGCGUGAGGGAUGACGGCCUUCGGGUUGUAAACCUCUUUCAGUAGGGACGAAGCGCAAGUGACGGUACCUGCAGAAGAAGCACCGGCUAACUACGUGCCAGCAGCCGCAGUAAUACGUAGGGUGCGAGCGUUGUCCGGAAUUACUGGGCGUAAAGAGCUCGUAGGCGGUUUGUCACGUCGUCUGUGAAAUCCUAGGGCUUAACCCUGGACGUGCAGGCGAUACGGGCUGACUUGAGUACUACAGGGGAGACUGGAAUUUCUGGUGUAGCGGUGGAAUGCACAGAUAUCAGGAAGAACACCGAUGGCGAAGGCAGGUCUCUGGGUAGUAACUGACGCUGAGGAGCGAAAGCAUGGGUAGCGAACAGG
rnacentral:rRNA from 1 species